GCCGGGUGUGGUGGUGCGUGCCUGUAAUCCCAGCUACUCGGGAGGCUGAGGCAGGAGAAUCACUUGAACCCAGGAGGUGGAGGUUGCAGUGAGCCGAGAUGGUGCCACUGCACUCCAGCCUGGGUGACAGAGGGAGACUCUGUCUCAA
rnacentral:SRP_RNA from 1 species